GCCUCUAUGGCGUAGUGGUAGCGCGUGUCACUUGUAUCCCUAGUCCAAGGUUAGCAAGAUUCAUGACAAGGUCUCUCGUUCGAUCCGGGAUGGAGGCA